GGCGAUGUAGCUCAGUGGUAGAGUGCCUGUCUAAUAUGUGUGAACCUAGGUUUAAUCCCUAGUACCACCA
rnacentral:tRNA from 1 species